rnacentral:rRNA from 1 species
UACGAAGGGGGCUAGCGUUGUUCGGAAUUACUGGGCGUAAAGCGUGCGCAGGCGGCUUCUCAAGUCAGAGGUGAAAGCCCAGAGCUCAACUCUGGAAUGGCCUUUGAGACUAGAGGACUUGGGUACGGGAGAGGUGAGUGGAAUUCCGAGUGUAGAGGUGAAAUUCGUAGAUAUUCGGAAGAACACCAGUGGCGAAGGCGGCUCACUGGCCCGUUACCGACGCUCAGGCGCGACAGCGUGGGGAGCAAACAGG